rnacentral:rRNA from 1 species
UACGGGGGGGGCAAGCGUUGUUCGGAAUUACUGGGCGUAAAGGGCUCGUAGGCGGCCAACUAAGUCAGACGUGAAAUCCCUCGGCUUAACCGGGGAACUGCGUCUGAUACUGGAUGGCUUGAGUUUGGGGAGAGGGAUGCGGAAUUCCUGGUGUAGCGGUGAAAUGCGCAGAUAUCAGGAAGAACACCCGUGGCGAAGGCGGCUCUCUGGAACGCAACUGACGCUGAGACGCGAAAGCGUGGGGAGCAAACAGG